rnacentral:rRNA from 1 species
UACGAAGGGGGCUAGCGUUGCUCGGAAUGACUGGGCGUAAAGGGCGCGUAGGCGGUUCGUACAGUCAGACGUGAAAUUCCCGGGCUCAACCUGGGGGCUGCGUUUGAUACGUGCGGGCUUGAGUUCGGAAGAGGGUCGUGGAAUUCCCAGUGUAGAGGUGAAAUUCGUAGAUAUUGGGAAGAACACCGGUGGCGAAGGCGGCGACCUGGUCCGAUACUGACGCUGAGGAGCGAAAGCGUGGGGAGCGAACAGG